rnacentral:sRNA from 1 species
AGUUGUAUUCUGCCUGCUGCACCAUGCAAAUGCGCUCCUUCAGCACGCAAACACUCCUCUGCGGCAGGGUUUCUUCUUACCCCCUUUGCACAGACCAUCAUGGAGCAGUUCAACCCUAGCCUCCGGAACUUCAUCGCCAUGGGGAAGAAUUACGAGAAGGCACUGGUGUGACGUAUGCAGCCAAAGGCUACUUUGACGCCCUGGUGAAGAUGGGAGAGCUGGCCAGCGAGAGCCAGGGCUCCAAAGAACUCGGAGACGUUCUCUUCCAGAUGGCUGAAGUCCACAGGCAGAUCCAGAAUCAGCUGGAAGAAAUGCUGAAGUCUUUUCACAACGAGCUGCUCACACAGCUGGAGCAGAAGGUGGAGCUGGACUCCAGGUAUCUGAGUGCUGCGCUGAAGAAAUACCAGACUGAGCAAAGGAGCAAAGGCGACGCCCUGGACAAGUGUCAGGCUGAGCUGAAGAAGCUUCGGAAGAAGAGCCAGGGCAGCAAGAAUCCUCAGAAGUACUCGGACAAGGAGCUGCAGUACAUCGACGCCAUCAGCAACAAGCAGGGCGAGCUGGAGAAUUACGUGUC